UACUGUGGAUUCAUUAUUAUUCGUCGGAUAUCAAUUUUCGUGGGUUUCGUGGCUACAUGUGAACCCCGAAUUCAAAUGUUCAACGAAUACCAUAUUUUCAAUUGGCUUUGUAUACAGAUAUUGGCUAAACCACGAAAUCAAAUAUCCACGAAUAUGCAAGUUUUCAGCAAUCCACGAAAAUUGAUACCCACGAAAAUAAAUGAAUCCUCAGUA
rnacentral:lncRNA from 1 species